rnacentral:lncRNA from 1 species
ACGCCAGAGCGAAGCCCGCUUUUUGACAGCGGCAGCGCGCGCGCGCGCGUGUGCAUUAAAGAGACAGGGGUUUAUUUCCAACAGGUCUUUCCCUAAUUUCCAGGGAAGGUCUGCAGAGUGGACCCAGGGGAUCCGGGGUCUCGGGUGUGUGCGGUGGUUGCUGUCGCCUGGGCAGCGCUGCGGUGACCCGAGGGUCUCACCAUCGUAGUCUCACCGUAGCUCCUGCUAGCCAGGUUUCUUUCCUUUCCCCAUUUUCUCUUUCCCCGAGUAACAGCUUAGAACAAUUGUGUUCUGUCCCUAAGAAACAUUUUUCUUUCCUUCUCUCAGUGCUUUCGCAGUUGCCCCGGAGUGGGAGGGGGUGUGUCCCUCCCCGGAAUCAGGCUCCAGGACCUCCCGCAGCGCGGCAAGCAGGUUCCCAGAGACCCCGGCUCUUGGGGCUACCCGUGCUUUGUCCUCGGGCCGCUGACUGCUCAGAGGUGGACGCUUGGGCGCCUCGAGCCCCGGCCCCGAGUGCUCCCCUCUGGGGACUGAAACACACCCGGAAUCUGGCUUCUCGGUCUAUGUAUUCCAAUCUUUCUGUUUCUGCAAGCCUCGGGAGCUGGGGAUUCAGGGCUUCUGUGGCAUUCAGCUCCCGACUGUUUGUAGGGUCGCUCAGAUCCCGGGUCCCUGACUUGGCCUUGGGGGCGCGCUCCCGGCUCUGGAGCCCAGGCCUGCGCCGUCAGCCU